rnacentral:rRNA from 1 species
GAAUUUUGGACAAUGGGGGCAACCCUGAUCCAGCCAUGCCGCGUGCGGGAAGAAGGCCUUCGGGUUGUAAACCGCUUUUGUCGGGGAAGAAACGCUUCAGGCUAAUACCUUGGAGUAAUGACGGUACCCGAAGAAUAAGCACCGGCUAACUACGUGCCAGCAGCCGCGGUAAUACGUAGGGUCCAAGCGUUGUCCGGAUUUAUUGGGCGUAAAGAGCUCGUAGGCGGUUCGGUAAGUCGGAUGUGAAAACUCAGGGCUCAACCCUGAGACGCCAUCCGAUACUGCUGUGACUCGAGUCUGGUAGGGGAGAACGGAAUUCCAGGUGUAGCGGUGAAAUGCGCAGAUAUCUGGAGGAACACCGAUGGCGAAGGCAGUUCUCUGGGCCAGUACUGACGCUGAGGAGCGAAAGCGUGGGGAGCAAAC